rnacentral:rRNA from 1 species
ACCUUAUCGAUAAACAAUUGGAGGGCAAGUCUGGUGCCAGCAGCCGCGGUAAUUCCAGCUCCAAUAGCGUAUAUUAACGUUGUUGCAGUUAAAAAGCUCGUAGUUGAAAUGAAGGGUAGUUGUGUAAUGAAUACAUUCGUGUAUUUUGUUAUUCUACUACCCUCCUUCUAAAUUCGAUAUAUGAGUAUUAAUUUACUUGUAUAUGGUUUUAGACGUUUACUGUGAGAAAAUUAGAGUGUUCAAAGCAGGCAUUUGCUUGAAUAUAUUAGCAUGGAAUAAUCAUGUAUGAUUUUCAUGAUGUAUUUGAUUGGUUUGGUUCAUGAGAAUAAGAUUAAAAGGGACAGUUGGGGGUAUUCAUAUUCAAUAGUCAGAGGUGAAAUUCUCGGAUUUAUGGAAGAUGAA